rnacentral:rRNA from 1 species
UACGUAGGGGGCAAGCGUUGUCCGGAUUUAUUGGGCGUAAAGAGCGUGUAGGCGGCCAUACAGGUCCGUUGUGAAAACUGGAGGCUUAACCUCCAGACGUCGAUGGAAACCGUAUGGCUAGAGUCCGGAAGAGGAGAGUGGAAUUCCUGGUGUAGCGGUGAAAUGCGCAGAUAUCAGGAAGAACACCCGUGGCGAAGGCGGCUCUCUGGGCCAUUACUGACGCUGAGGAGCGAAAGCGUGGGGAGCGAACAGG